rnacentral:lncRNA from 1 species
GGAUAAUAUAUUUUUUCUAAUGAUUAGAUGGUAUUUACAAAUGAUUGGGGUCCCCUUAUAUAAUGGGAAACGCUAAAUAAGUUACAUUUCUAUUUACAGUAAGGAAUCAUAUUGGUACAAUUGUCUAACCGUUUAAUACGGAUUCGUACUAGGUCAUACGAAUAAAUUUUGAAAUUUACGGCACGAUCUUGGGGCCGUGGCGGGAAUCUUAUCCUUUUGUAAUAAACUUAUAACGGUAUUAUCUUGAGAUCGGUCAUGUUCGACCUCGAUGUUCACCAGACACUUUGAUCUUUGAAGCCUCCCAUCGUGCUUGCUCCUGGUCUUUAUCGAUCUUGCUUCUACAGUGACCUUCGAGCCCACAAAAUCGAAUAGACACGAUUUCUGCCAUAUACCAUAGUAAUGUAUGAAGCUAUUCUCCGUCAUACUAACCGCAAUUCUUAACGUCAUAUCAUUACUUCAAUUAAAAUUUAUUAUCAAUUUUUUCUACCUCUUGGCAAUGCUUGUUUGCUGCUAGGUCCGAAAUGGCGCCACGAGAGGGCAUCGUUAUGCCUUUAAUGAAUCGAUGCAUAUCUUACACUUUAAAAGUAAAUUUUAUUUCUUCUUUAUUUUUUUAUUCUAUAAUUUCUUUUUAUUUAUAGGUUGGUUUCGUGUAUAUAGAUUUUACUGGAAGAGAUUAGUAUCCUCAAGCUAAGUCCCUUGAAACUUGAAGUAUAUAUGCCCAUAAGAUGGGCGGUGGCGAAUCCAAAAUUUUAGGUUUAUAGGUACUAACUUUUUAAUAUAAAGUUAUUAUCAAUUCCAUCAUAUAAGUAUGCAACUAUUUAAAUGCAAAAAUAAAUAAUUAAAAAAUUAUGAUAUUAAUAUUAUACUAGUACAGUACUCGCGCGAUGCGCGAAAAAUUCCAGAAAAAAAGUAUAAAAUGUUAUUGUAUUUCUUUAAUAGCUAAAUAUAAAUAUUACGGAUAAUAGAGGCCAUUGGCACAAUGACAAAUCUAAAGUUAUUUCUUUUCUAUAUAGAGAACUAACAAAAAGAGUCGCUCAGCUAAUCUCUUAAACUAAAAAUAGUCAGCUAAUAUUAAUAUAUAUAUAUAUAUAUAUAUAUAUAUAUAUAUAUAUAUAUAUGUGUGUGUGUGUGUGUGUGUGUGUGUGUGUGUAUGUGUGAGAGAGAGUGUGUGUGUGUAAUUAACGUAUAAAUUAUGCAUUUUAGUGAAAAAAAAAGUAAACAAUAAAUACUGGCAGCUAUUUGUUUAAAAAUCCCUUUAUAUAUAUUAUAUAAGUACCAUAAUUCGCGGAUAUUGUAAAGUAAGGAAAACAAGAAUUAAAAGUUAAAUAUUUUUCAUAGUAUAAUUUAUGCGUUCAUUCCAAUAAAGCAUAAUUAGCUUAAAAAAAUCGUGACUGAACAACUUUAUUUAAAUACACAAUGGUUCUAAUAUGGAUGCAUUAGUUUAUAUAUCGUAACAAAGUUUGAUAAUUUCUCAUUUUUUACUUAUAAGAUUUCUUCAUGAUCCUUUAUUCUGCUCGUUAAUAAUGUUAGAAGAAAGAAAACAUUGAAAACAUUUAAUGAUUUUCUGUGGAUCAAUAAUCUAAAAAGCAUUAUAAUUUUUGUCAUGCUUGAAAAAAUAUGCCGGAUAGCAAAUGCACUCAAAUAGGAAUAAGUUAGUGUUAUUCCAUUAUGUUAACUAUUUAAUGUAAUACUAUUAUGAAAAAAUUAUAGUAAAAUGAAAGUUACUCAUGUAAAGAAAUAACAAAAUUUGCUUAAUUACAAAAACUAUAAAUAGUUAUACAGACCGGUCUUCCACUUAGCUUCAAAUAUAAGAACAUAAACGCAAAAAGGUUCACUUGGUCAAAUCUCUUGAUAAAUUUCAAUUAAAGUACUAUCUAAAGGUUGUCCAACUGAAUUUAUUAAAAUUGCUAAAGCAUGCCAAUCUGAUAGUUUCAUUUGAUCAAUAGCAUCAAUUAGCGCAUCUCUAGUAUACUAAUAAUUUGCAAUGUGUUAAUUUAGUAAAGCCCUAAGCUCUCUGAAUUUCUUUUCUCUUUCCCUUUGUUCAGCUCUUCGAUCCCUUACCUUAUUUUGUAUCGCCAUUGGAACUUUCCUGAUGACUUGAGUCUUUGAGUCAUAAUGAUUAAAGGAAUAAUGGUUGUGCCGUCUCCCUUAUACGUUGUCCUCUUCCUUGAGUUGGAAAACUCGCAUUUGAAGUAAUUCGAACGUGUCAUUUUUUAGCCAUAUC